rnacentral:rRNA from 1 species
CCUACGGGUGGCAGCAGUGGGGAAUAUUGGACAAUGGGCGAAAGCCUGAUCCAGCCAUGCCGCGUGUGUGAAGAAGGCCUUCGGGUUGUAAAGCACUUUCAGUGGGGAAGAAAGCCUUGGGGCUAAUACCCUCGAGGAAGGACAUCACCCACAGAAGAAGCACCGGCUAACUCCGUGCCAGCAGCCGCGGUAAUACGGAGGGUGCGAGCGUUAAUCGGAAUUACUGGGCGUAAAGCGCGCGUAGGCGGUCUGAUAAGCCGGUUGUGAAAGCCCCGGGCUCAACCUGGGAACGGCAUCCGGAACUGUCAGGCUAGAGUGCAGGAGAGGAAGGUAUAAAUCCCGGUGUAGCGGUGCCAUGCGUAGAGAUCGGGAGGACUACCCGUGGCGAAGGCGGCCUUCUGGACUGACACUGACGCUGGGGUGCGAAAGCGUGGGUAGCAAACAGGCUUCGAUACCCCUGUAGUC